rnacentral:rRNA from 1 species
AGUGAACGCUGGCGGUAGGCCUAACACAUGCAAGUCGAACGGCAGCACAGUAAGAGCUUGCUCUUACGGGUGGCGAGUGGCGGACGGGUGAGGAAUACAUCGGAAUCUACUUUUUCGUGGGGGAUAACGUAGGGAAACUUACGCUAAUACCGCAUACGACCUACGGGUGAAAGCAGGGGAUCUUCGGACCUUGCGCGAUUGAAUGAGCCGAUGUCGGAUUAGCUAGUUGGCGGGGUAAAGGCCCACCAAGGCGACGAUCCGUAGCUGGUCUGAGAGGAUGAUCAGCCACACUGGAACUGGGACAGGGUCCAGACUCCUACGGGGGGCAGCAGUGGGGAAUAUUGGACAAUGGGCGCAAGCCUGAUCCGGCCAUACCGCGUGGGUGAAGAAGGCCUUCGGGUUGUAAAGCCCUUUUGUUGGGAAAGAAAAGCAGCAGGUUAAUACCCCGCUGUUCUGACGGUACCCAAAGAAUAAGCACCGGCUAACUUCGUG